UGGGGAAUAUUGCACAAUGGGCGAAAGCCUGAUGCAGCAACGCCGCGUGAGUGAUGAAGGUCUUCGGAUUGUAAAGCUCUGCCUUUUGGGACGAUAAUGACGGUACCAAAGGAGGAAGCCACGGCUAACUACGUGCCAGCAGCCGCGGUAAUACGUAGGUGGCGAGCGUUGUCCGGAUUUACUGGGCGUAAAGGGUGCGUAGGCGGAUGUUUAAGUGAGAUGUGAAAUACCCGGGCUUAACUUGGGUGCUGCAUUUCAA
rnacentral:rRNA from 1 species